AAAAGAACUUUGAAGAGAGAGUUCAACAGUACGUGAAACCGCCUAGAGGUAAACGGGUGGAUCCGCAAAGUCGGUCCGCGAAAUUCAGCUCGGAAGGCUGGUCGCAAGUGGCAGGGCGGAGAUCUUCCGUGGACUCUCUUGCUGCUUGACGCUGGCUUGACGUGUGCACUUUUCGCAGGCAGAGCGCCACGACCGGUUUUCGGGCAGUCAGAAGGCGGCCAGGAAGGUAGGUGGGCGCUUCGGCGUUUACUGUUAUAGCCUGACCUGUCCCGAUCUGCUCGGAGACCGAGGAGCCGCCGCUUGGCUGGGGCUACCCUGCUCUCCAUGGGGGAUUCGACUGGCAGAGACUGGGCAACCGUGUCUGCCGACUGCCUCUGUGGACGGAUGGGGGUGUUCGAGUCCGCCAAGCACAGGGUCGGUGGCGAAUCGGUCGGCACUCCACCCGACCCGUCUUGAAACACGGACCAAGGAGUCUAACAUGCGCGCGAGUCGUUGGGUAGUACGAAACCCGAAGGCACAGUGAAAGCGAGGGCCGUCCUUGCGACGUGCUCAGGUGGGAUCCUGUGUUCUUUCCGGCACAGGC
rnacentral:rRNA from 1 species